rnacentral:tRNA from 1 species
GGGAUAAUAGUUAAGUUAACAUUUAAUUUGCAUUUAAAAAAUACUGAUAAUCAGUUUAUCUUA